ensembl:misc_RNA
GUCACUCGGUGUUCUCACCGAAAGCACGUAAUCGCCGGUGUAACUCAUGUUGGCUGGGGGGCCUCCAGGCGCGCGGGGAGGCUGAGGUGCGCCCCA